UUGGUGGGGUAAUGGCCUACCAAGGCGACGACGGGUAGCCGGCCUGAGAGGGUGACCGGCCACACUGGGACUGAGACACGGCCCAGACUCCUACGGGAGGCAGCAGUGGGGAAUAUUGGACAAUGGGCGAAAGCCUGAUCCAGCAACGCCGCGUGAGGGAUGACGGCCUUCGGGUUGUAAACCUCUUUCAGUAGGGACGAAGCGUGAGUGACGGUACCUACAGAAGAAGCACCGGCCAACUACGUGCCAGCAGCCGCGGUAAUACGUAGGGUGCGAGCGUUGUCCGGAAUUAUUGGGCGUAAAGGGCUCGUAGGCGGUUUGUCGCGUCAGGAGUGAAAACUCGGGGCUUAACUCCGAGCCUGCUUCUGAUACGGGCAGACUAGAGGUAUGCAGGGGAGAACGGAAUUCCUGGUGUAGCGGUGAAAUGCGCAGAUAUCAGGAGGAACACCGGUGGCGAAGGC
rnacentral:rRNA from 1 species